rnacentral:lncRNA from 1 species
UAUUUUUCCUUUAAAACAACAACGAAGAUAAAAUGGGAAAACAUAAACUAUUAAAAAAAUCUGAAAAUAUGACAUGUAAUUUCAUUUAUAGAUACAGGCUGAUAACAUUUAAUGUCCUUAAAUCAAAAUUUUUAGAUUCAUAAGUUUUCAGUCAAAGUUAUAGGCUAGCAAAGCAAAAUAUAAACAUGUACAUAUGUAAACAUAGCGUUUACGUGUGAAAUGAAAGCCAUGUUUGCCACCCAUUUGCUUGCACUUGAUGCUUUAGAUUUUCAUGGUUAAUCUACAAGCAAUGAUGAUAAAAUAAGAAGUCUAACUAUAAUGCACAAUCCCAAAUAUAAAGAUUGUAAGCAAUUUAACCUAAAUACCUUUAACUUUUACAAUUUCCUCAUGGCAAUACUUUUACUCCAGUUACUAUUAGAAUAUUGAAAGAUAAAUAAUUUGUCAAGUUUUAGGUAACAAAUUGUAAUCAUGUUUACAAAAUUAAAUAGUAAGAAAUGUUACCUUAAUCUUGUACUUCAACCUUUGUACUUUGAGACGGGUGUGAUGCUUGUAAAAUUGACAAAAAAUGCAAUUUUAUUUCUAUCUGAAAAUUGAAUGCAAUUUGAAUUUAUAGUAUACUUCCGUAUAAAAAUAAGAGAAAACUUACCGUAUUUAGAAAAGUUGUUUGAUCACUAUUAAUCUUUUUCCCGCACCUAAAAAUUAUUUUGUUAUUUUUAUAAUUUGAGAUAAUUAAUUUGUAGAUUUUUUUUCUAAUUUUCUAAUUUGAGAUAAUUAACAUGAACGUAUCUCCUCCAUUUUAGGAGGAGAUAAUAAUAUAGAAGAAACAAAGGAACAAUAGGAGGAGAUAUUAUCUCAAAGCAGCAGUAGAAAAUGAUAAUGGCAUCACAGGCCAUAAGAAGAUUGAAGCAUGCGAUAAUUCUUAAUUGAGAUUGAAGCCUAUCAACUUUUAAGGAAGACUAAUGAAAAGGGUUUGAAAACUUUGAGUUUUAACGAUAAGGACAAAAUAAAUGGUAAAGUAAAUAGUACCAGGAUUGACUUUUUAGUAUAAAAAUAUGAUUUUUCGUUAAAAUGAACAGUACCGGAAGCUUUCAUUAAAGUUCCUUUAAAGAUAAUGUGGUGAUGACCUAGUGGAAUAUACGUUCGGUUUUCAAACAUGUAUACUGUCAAGCCCGUGGACAUUUUACCUGACAAUUUCAUAUGUGUGUGUGCAUGUACAGAUGCAUAUAUGUUAUACUUUUUUGGCUUCAAUUAUUAAAGUUUGUGUUUUAUUCCUUAACGUUAAUCUUCGCAUGCGUUUUCACAUGAAGCUCAUAUAGAGAAUGCCACUACAAAUAAAUAGGAAAUGGUGUUGUACCUAAUUUGUUGAACUUUAUUUCAAAUAGGUAUGAUGUGAAGAGUUGUUGAAGGUU